CAGUAGCCACGGUAAUACGGAGGGUGCAAGCGUUAUCCGGAUUUAUUGGGUUUAAAGGGUCCGUAGGCGGAUCUGUAAGUCAGUGGUGAAAUCUCACAGCUUAACUGUGAAACUGCCAUUGAUACUGCAGGUCUUGAGUAAAUUUGAAGUGGCUGGAAUAAGUAGUGUAGCGGUGAAAUGCAUAGAUAUUACUUAGAACACCAAUUGCGAAGGCAGGUCACUAAGAUUUAACUGACGCUGAUGGACGAAAGCGUGGGGAGCGAACAGGAUUAGAUACCCGUGUAGUCCCUGUCUCUUAUAA
rnacentral:rRNA from 1 species